ACGGCGUGAAAUUAAAUAUUGAAUUGAAAAUAAUACUACGUCCAUAUCGAAGUGAAAGUGUAUGUAAAACGACUUAUAGUUAAAAUUUAGGUAAACUAGCAUUCAUGGAAAAAAUAGUCUAAUGCUUCUGGUGGAAAGACUGUUUUAAUAUAACGAUGCCUAUUUCUGGAUCGCGAUCGGCGGGAACGAUGUCUGGAUCGCGAGCGAGACCUCUUCCCGCGAUGUCGCGACCGGGAUCUCCGGGACCGGGACCGGGAACGGCGGCGGGAUCGAGAACGAGACCGAGUCCUGUUACAAACUCCCUUAUAUAAUAAAUAGUGAUUGUACUAUGAAAUAGAAACUCGAACUUGUAAUAAAUAUUUUUUUGAUAGAUUAAAAUAUAUAGCCCAUGGAGCUACUGCAUGUUAAGUGAAUACAGUUCAUGGACACCAGUAACAGAAAUUAUCUCACAUCAUUCAAUCUAAUUUUUAUUAAAACUUUUCAGAUAUCCAUCAUGAAUAGAAGUAACAACUAAAAACUAUAGAAUGUAACUAAUCGCCAUUAUCUCAAACAAAAUUAACACUUUUAUCAUAUUAGCAAAGUAAAAAAAUUCUAAUGACACUGUAUAAAAUGAAUAUAGCUUAUCAAAACUGAUACCUUUAAGGCAAUAUUACUUUGAGAAAACAAUUGAAAAUAGUUUCCUUUUGCAGAUUUUAUGGCCUGGUAACAAUAGCUUCAUAUACAUACAAAGACAAUAAUUUAAAAUUAAUACCAUUGUUUGAAAAAAAUUCAAGUAUUACAUAAUCAAUGAAGAUCAUUCUUGAACAAGAUUAAGUACUAUAAAUCCUUUACUUGGAACCCCAACCUCUGCAGACCUUAUUUUGCUGUUUAGUUACUUACCUUUAACAUUAGUUGAUACUGUUAAUGAAAAUAAUAAUUGCUAAUACAAACCUGAGUGAUGUUGAUAUUUUACAUAGGAGAUUGGUUAAUAUUCUAUAAAACUAAAUUAAGUUUUCUACUGACCCUUUUUGUAGAUUGUAAAUGCAAACAAAUAAAGACAGCAACUGACUUGCAAUGAUCUAGUGCAAUGAGACAAGUAAUUUUAGGCAAAUGUGUGACUAAUAACUCUAUUAACUUGUCUUAUUGCUAA